GCCCGGGUGGCGGAAUUGGUAGACGCGCUUGGUUCAGGUCCAAGUGUCCUUACGGUCAUAGGAGUUCAAGUCUCCUCUCGGGUA
rnacentral:tRNA from 2 species